AUUGAACGCUGGCGGCAGGCCUAACACAUGCAAGUCGAGCGAGCGGCGGACGGGUGAGUAAUGUCUGGGAAACUGCGUGAUGGAGGGGGAUAACUACGGGAAAAGGUAGCUAAUACCGCAUACCAUCAGAUGUGCGCAGAUGGGAUUAGCUAGUAGGUGGGGUAACGGCUCACCUAGGCGACGAUCCCUAGCUGGUCUGAGAGGAUGACCAGCCACACUGGAACUGAGACACGGUCCAGACUCCUACGGGAGGCAGCAGUGGGGAAUAUUCGACAAUGGGCGCAAGCCUGAUGCAGCCAUGCCGCGUGUGUGAAGAAGGCCUUCGGGUUGUAAAGCACUUUCAGCGGGGAGGCGUUACCCGCAGAAGAAGCACCGGCUAACUCCGUGCCAGCAGCCGCGGUAAUAC
rnacentral:rRNA from 1 species